CUACCUCCCUAGAGUGGGAUCCGCCUCUGUUCAUGCUUCAGAAAGCAGUGAGAAAGGCCUUCUCUCUCCAGGGUUGGACAGCCCCAGGAAGGCUAGCUAACCCAGCGCUGAGGGCUUCAUCUGGAGAGUGAAGGCAAUGAACAUGUAGAGACUGAUGGCAGCCCAGCCUUGAGCAUCCACUCAACUCUGCACGCCACGGAAGAGAAGGCAGGCCAGGCCAGAUGAAGGCUAGGUGCUGGCUGGGGCCUCUGCAGGGGCCAAUGUGCUGGAGCCCUGGAGGCUGAGUGCCUGCUCCAGGCUGAGCCACCGCUGUGGGAACACAUGAAUGGAAGCACGCAUGGCAAACGCUGUGGAGGGAUCAGGAAGGCAUGGAAAGAAGCAUAUUCUGCAUCUUUCAUCCUUUCUUCCCUGGACACAUCUGUUCAGGCCAUGCAUAUCCCUAGUACCAAGCCAGCACUUGACCCAGAAGCACACACCCAUUGGAUGAAUGGAAUCACUCAGGCACAGGAUUCACUGACCCCUGCUAGCACUGGGCAUGAUGAACAAGACUGACCUGUUCUUCCAGACCUGCUGUCUGGCCCCAAGGAUGAUGGUCAAGGAAAGCCACUGAUGCUGCCAUCCUGGGCCAAAGUACCAGUAGCCGGGUCUCAGGCUCCUUGUGGCAGGGCUUAGAUGGUGGAUGCCUUCCCUCAAACCAGGAGCUUGCGGCCCGAUCCAGCCUUGGAUCAGGGAGCUGUGCUGAUGCUGCACUGAGCCCUGGAGAGCUAGAAUUUCAGAGCUGGGAGAAGCCCUGGAAACCAAGGCGUUUACCUUCUCAUUCUGGGGCUGGCAUCUCUGCCCAAGACCGGGAGCCUCUUGAUCUUUGCAUCUUUGUACCCACCUCUGCCAUCUUGUGCACUUCCCCAGGAAGUAAGCAUUUAAACCUGGACCCCCACCAGAUGGAAAAUGCCCAUUGCAGUCAAGUAGACCUCAGAAGAGUGGUAACUAAGGACAGAACACUGAUCGCCGGUCUUUCUUCUCAAUUUCUUCCUGAGGGGCCUGGAGAGACUCAUACCUACAGGCCAGACCUUAACAU
ensembl:lncRNA novel transcript, antisense to GNAO1